rnacentral:rRNA from 1 species
AAAGUGAUUGAGCCAUGCCGCCUAGAAAAGCUUCUAAGCGUUGAUAUUUGAGUGACCGUACCGCAAACCGACACUGGUAGGUGGGUAGAAUAUACCAAGGGGAGCGAGAGAACCUUCGUUAAGGAAUUAGGCAAAUUUCCCCCGUACGUUCGCAAUAAGGGGGGCCUCUGGUGGUGAGCUUAAUCGCAAAGCUGCUGGAGGCCGCAGAGAAAUGGCUCUUCCAACUGUUUAACAAAAACACAGGUCUCUGCUAAGUCGAAAGACGAAGUAUAGGGGCUGACGCCUGCCCAGUGCUGGAAGGUUAAGGGGAGAGGUUAGGCGCAAGCCAAAGCCUUGAGCCGGAGCCCCAGUGAACGGCGGCCGUAACGAUAACGGUCCUAAGGUAGCGAAAUUCCUUGUCGGGUAAGUUCCGACCCGCACGAAUGGCGUAAUGAGAGGAGCACUGUCUCAACGAGGGACUCGGCGAACAUUGAAGGACGUGUGAAGAUACACGUGACCCGCAGCGGGACAAAAAGACCCCGUGAAGCUUUACUACAACUUGCCAUUGAGUUAGGGCUAAACCUGUGUAGCAUAGGUGGGAGGCUUUGAAGCUGGGACGCCGGUCUCGGUGGAGCCACCGUUGAAAUACCACCCUGGUUUAUUCUUGGCUCUAACCUGUCGCCGUUAUCCGGCAUGGGAACAGUGGCUGGUGGGUAGUUUGACUGGGGCGGUCGCCUCCGAAAGCGUAACAGAGGCGCCCAAAGGUUCCCUCAGGCUGAAUGGAAACCAGCCGUUGAGUGUAAAGGCACAAGGGAGCUUGACUGCAAGACCAACAAGUCGCGCAGGGACGAAAGUCGGGCUUAGUGAUCCCACGGUUCAGAGUGGAAUGGCCGUGGCUUACCGGAUAAAAGCUACUCCGGGGAUAACAGGGUAGUCUGGUCCAAGAGUUCAUAUCGACGACCAGGUUCGCCACCUCGAUGUCGGCUCAUCACAUCCUGGGGCUGGAUAGGGUCCCAAGGGUUGGGCUGUUCGCCCAUUAAAGUGGUACGUGAGCUGGGUUCAGACCGUCGUGAGACAGGUCGGUCUCUAUCCGCUGUGGGCGUAAGGGAUUUGAGAGAAGCUGCCCCUAGUACGAGAGGACCGGGGUGGACGGACCUCUAGUGUGCCAGUUGUUCUGCCAAGAGCAUUGCUGGGUAGCUACGUCCGGCAGAGAUAACCGCUGAAAGCAUCUAAGUGGGAAACUCGUCUCAAGAUUAGAUCCCUCAUCCGUAUGGAGUAAGACCGCUAGAAGACGACUAGUUUGAUAGGCGGCAGGUGUAAGCGCAGUAAUGUGUUCAGCUUAGCCGUACUAAUGGUCGAGGGCUUACGUUG